UUGUAGUCCUGCCGUGUUUCUCCUGGGAGUGACUCCUCCUCUCUCUCCAGGAUCUGUGCAGUCCUCCGGUCCACCGACACGUUUUACCGGAUUCUCUGCCUGGAAACACCGAGCGGUGAUCAGAACCGGCGGCCGACGGACGGACGGAGCUCCGUUAGCUGCGACUGAGGAUUAGAGAUGAUGGGAUCUGAUCAGAGUCGAGAGAAAGAAGCUGAAGAGAAACAAGAUGAAACUGAAAAACAGCAGAAACCUGAAGAACCUGAAGGCAGCAUGGAGUCUGAAGAGACACCUGCAGAGCUGCCCCAGUGCAUGAUGGGAAACAGGAAGGUGGACAACAUGUGCUUCAUGAUCUCCUGCACCAACUGGUACUGAACCAGUAAAACCAGAUUAAAGGUGGAACCAGGAGGAGUUUAAGUUCUGGGACGCUGCAUUCAGGAACCGCCAGAAAACCCAAAACAAAGAUGUCACUUUUUUUCACUACUUUUUCACCCAUCAGCUGAUUAAUUUUAGUUAAUUUUUUAAUUUUAUUUUUAUUUUAUUUUUUAGAUGUUUUCUGUAAUUUAAGAAAACAGGAAAAAUGUAUGAAAUAACAGUUUGAUUUUCCUUUUUCUUGAUUUAAAUAUAGUAAAAAAAAAUGGUGUAAAUUUACAAACGUUGUAAAACAGCAAAAUGUUUAUUUUUUUAAUAAAAAUACAGAUUUUUGAUGUGGA